rnacentral:lncRNA from 1 species
UCUUGAAUUGCUAUCACGUGGAGGUGUGAGUACUGGAUUGGAAAGUUGAGAACUCUGGAAACUGACUUUCAGGAAGAUUUGGCUUCCUCUAGGACAGAGCUGAGUAGGAAGUCAGUCCUUCCCUAGGGUGGAGCCAGAGAGGGCAGGCUCAGAGGCUAAAGGGAUAAAUAACCGCUUAACUCGAAUAAGAGGACACAAAAGUGAAGAGCCAGAUGCAAACCUGCUUUCCAGAGGAGAAGAAGAAACAAGAGAGGAGGCCUUUAAGGAGUUGAAGGUGAAGACAGUAGAGAACCAUGAAAAUUCUCAUCUCUGUCUUGCUGGGAGCCCUGUUAUUUGUGGAGUCAGCUCACUGCCUGCAGUGUCAUGCGUGUACUGUGGUCAACCAUGCUGGCGUCUGUCAGACUAAGACGUGCUCACAUGGGGAAUCUACCUGCUUCAAGGUUCUGUUAACACACUCUGCCUCUAGAGUGAAAUCCUAUGUCAAGGACUGUACCACUUCCUGUAAAGAUGUUAAAAGCUCACUUGCGAUGCUUCAAAUCCAAGGAUUUAGUGUGCAUGUGAACUGUUGUGACACUGAUCUGUGUAAUGGGGUGGAUGGGGUCAGGAGCAACCUCUGGGCCCUGGCAGGGGCACUCCUCCUCAGCCUGGGACCUGCCCUUCUCUGGUUUGGGCUCUGAGAAACUUCCUUCCUCACCAGCCUCUUCUCACUAAGCCUUCCUUCUGAUACCAAGCCCAUGAAACUGGAGCUCCCGUGCCGGUCCCACCUCAGCCCAGCCUUCAGAUUGUGAACUUUGACAUAUUUCCCAAGCCCUGGCAUCCCCAAGGAAUAGACAGGAAGCCUCUAUGUCUCUUCCCCGCUGACCCUUCUUUUCUUCCUUAUCUUUUUUGGAGGAUUCCUCCUUGGUUCCCAGCCAGUCCGUUUCUCCCUUGUUCUAACUAUGUCCCUAGGAAAGAUUUUCUUCCUUCCUUCUUUUUGCUUCAGUAUUACAGAUCUAAGGUUCCCUGGGGAGGGUUAAUUGUUAAGUUUUCUUUGAGGAGAGAAAAGGACCCUGAGUCCCAGCAAACAAGGGAGAUAAGGUGAGCUCAGGCAUCUGGGAACUGGACAGAAGACGGAAGAGAAAAAUGAAAUGACUUUGGAGACCAAAAAGUGGGACUUUAUUUUGGCAACUUGGGGAAGGAAAUUUUGCCUGGCCUCGAGGUAGGAACCAGAGGCACCAGAGAGAGAAGACAGAAUCUUAGGACACUAGAGAGAGAAGAGCUUGGGGUUGGGAAAGGAAUGGAUGCAGGGGGCUGAACAGAAACCUCUGGGGCAGACAUUUCUCUGAGCUGAACAUAGCUGAGCUCUGUCCCUGGUAUGUCUUAACCUCCCUAGCAAUUGCAUCAUAAAAUAUAAAUAAACUUAUGAAUAAAUGUAUGUCCUGAGGGUAU